rnacentral:rRNA from 1 species
GACGAACGCUGGCGGCGUGCUUAACACAUGCAAGUCGAACGGAAAGGCCCUGCUUGCAGGGUACUCGAGUGGCGAACGGGUGAGUAACACGUGGGUUAUCUGCCCUGCACUUCGGGAUAAGCCUGGGAAACUGGGUCUAAUACCGGAUAGGAGCCAUUUUUAGUGUGAUGGUUGGAAAGUUUUUUCGGUGUAGGAUGAGCUCGCGGCCUAUCAGCUUGUUGGUGGGGUAAUGGCCUACCAAGGCGGCGACGGGUAGCCGGCCUGAGAGGGUGGACAGCCACAUUGGGACUGAGAUACGGCCCAGACUCCUACGGGAGGCAGCAGUGGGGAAUAUUGCACAAGGGGCGCAAGCCUGAUGCAGCGACGCCGCGGGGGGGAUGACGGCCUUCGGGUUGUAAACUCCUUUCGCUAGGGACGAAGCUUUUUGUGACGGUACCUAGAUAAGAAGCACCGGCUAACUACGUG